rnacentral:rRNA from 1 species
UACGUAGGGGGCAAGCGUUAUCCGGAUUUAUUGGGUUUAAAGGGUGCGUAGGCGGAUUAUUAAGUCAGUGGUGAAAGCCUGCAGCUUAACUGCAGAACUGCCAUUGAUACUGAUGAUCUUGAGUAUGAUUGAGGUGGGCGGAAUGUGUCAUGUAGCGGUGAAAUGCUUAGAUAUGACACAGAACACCGAUUGCGAAGGCAGCUCACUAAGCCAUAACUGACGCUGAUGCACGAAAGCGUGGGGAGCAAACAGG